rnacentral:rRNA from 1 species
AACGAACGCUGGCGGCAUGCCUAACACAUGCAAGUCGAACGAGACCUUCGGGUCUAGUGGCGCACGGGUGCGUAACGCGUGGGAACCUGCCCUAGGUUCGGAAUAACUCCCCGCAAGGGGUGCUAAUACCGGAUAAUGCCUUCGGACCAAAGAUUUAUCGCCUUUGGAUGGGCCCGCGUUGGAUUAGCUAGUUGGUAGGGUAAAAGCCUACCAAGGCGACGAUCCAUAGCUGGUCUGAGAGGAUGAUCAGCCACACUGGGACUGAGACACGGCCCAGACUCCUACGGGAGGCAGCAGUGGGGAAUAUUGGACAAUGGGCGAAAGCCUGAUCCAGCAAUGCCGCGUGAGUGAUGAAGGCCUUAGGGUUGUAAAGCUCUUUUACACGAGAUGAUAAUGACAGUACCGGGAGAAUAAGCUCCGGCUAACUCCGUG